GAUGAACGCUAGCGGGAGGCCUAACACAUGCAAGCCGAGCGGGAUUUGUUGGUUAGCUUGCUAACUAACAAUGAGAGCGGCGUACGGGUGCGUAGCACGUGUGCAACCUGCCUUUAUCUGGGGGAUAGCCUUUCGAAAGGAAGAUUAAUACCCCAUAACAUAUUGAUUGGCAUCAGUUAAUAUUGAAAGCUCCGGCGGAUAGAGAUGGGCACGCGUAAGAUUAGCCAGUUGGUGAGGUAACGGCUCACCAAGGCUGCGAUCUUUAGGGGGCCUGAGAGGGUGAUCCCCCACACUGGUACUGAGACACGGACCAGACUCCUACGGGAGGCAGCAGUGAGGAAUAUUGGACAAUGGGUGAGAGCCUGAUCCAGCCAUCCCGCGUGAAGGACUAAGGACCUAUGGGUCGUAAACUUCUUUUAUACAGGGAUAAACCUACUCUCGUGAGGGUAGCUGAAGGUACUGUAUGAAUAAGCACCGGCUAACUCCGUG
rnacentral:rRNA from 1 species